rnacentral:rRNA from 1 species
GUGCCAGCAGCCGCGGUAAUACGGAGGGUGCAAGCGUUAAUCGGAAUUACUGGGCGUAAAGCGCGCGUAGGUGGCUUGAUAAGCCGGUUGUGAAAGCCCCGGGCUCAACCUGGGAACGGCAUCCGGAACUGUCAGGCUAGAGUGCAGGAGAGGAAGGUAGAAUUCCCGGUGUAGCGGUGAAAUGCGUAGAGAUCGGGAGGAAUACCAGUGGCGAAGGCGGCCUUCUGGGACUGACACUGACACUGAGGUGCGAAAGCGUGGGUAGCAAACAUGAUUAGAUACCCUGGUAGUCCACGCCGUAAACGAUGUCCACCAGCCGUUGGGUGCCUAGAGCACUUUGUGGCGAAAGUUACGCGAUAAGUCGACCGCCUGGGGGAGACGGCCGCUAGGUUAAAACUCAAAUGAAUUGACGG